rnacentral:rRNA from 1 species
GACGAACGCUGGCGGCGUGCUUAACACAUGCAAGUCGAACGGAAAGGCCCUGCUUUUGUGGGGUGCUCGAGUGGCGAACGGGUGAUUAACACGUGAGUAACCUGCCCUUGACUUUGGGAUAACUUCAGGAAACUUGGGCUAAUACCGGAUAGGAGCUCCUGCUGCAUGGUGGGGGUUGGAAAGUUUCGGCGGUUGGGGAUGGACUCGCGGCUUAUCAGCUUGUUGGUGGGGUAGUGGCUUACCAAGGCUUUGACGGGUAGCCGGCCUGCGAGGGUGACCGGCCACAUUGGGACUGAGAGACGGCCCAGACGCCUACGGGAGGCAGCAGUGGUGAAUAUUGCACAAUGGGCGGAAGCCUGAUGCAGCAACGCCGCGUGCGGGAUGACGGCCUUCGGGUAGUAAACCGCUUUCGCCUGUGACGAAGCGUGAGUGACGGUAAUGGGUAAAGAAGCACCGGCUAACUACGUG